rnacentral:sRNA from 1 species
GCUGGGCACAGUGGCACAUGCCUGUAAUCCCAGCAGCUCGGGAGGCUGAGGCAAGAGGCUCACAAGUUCAAAGCCAGCCUCAGCAAAAGUGAGGGGCUAAGUAACUCAGUGAGAUCCUGUCUCUA